UGAACGCUAGCGACAGGCCUAACACAUGCAAGUCGAGGGGCAGCACAAGGAGCAAUCUGAGGUGGCGACCGGCGCACGGGUGAGUAACACGUAUGCAACCUGCCUGUAAGCGGGGAAUAACCCGUCGAAAGACGGACUAAUACCGCACAAUACUAAAUUACUGCAUGGUAAUUUAUUUAAACAUUUAUGGCUUACAGAUGGGCAUGCGCAUGAUUAGCUAGUUGGAGAGGUAACGGCUCCCCAAGGCAACGAUCAUUAGGGGUUCUGAGAGGAAGGUCCCCACACUGGUACUGAGACACGGACCAGACUCCUACGGGAGGCAGCAGUGAGGAAUAUUGGUCAAUGGACGAGAGUCUGAACCAGCCAAGUCGCGUGCAGGAAGAAUGUCCUAAUGGAUUGUAAACUGCUUUUGCAGGGGGAAUAAAGUGCAUCACGUGUGAUGUUUUGUAUGUACUCUGCGAAUAAGGAUCGGCUAACUCCGUGCCAGCAGCCGC
rnacentral:rRNA from 1 species